CAACACGUGCAGAUCCUGCAGAUGAUUUAGUCUUAAAAGCUGCUAAUGUCACAUCUUUCAGCUCAACUGCAAACAAAACCGACACACAGUCUGAUAAAACGAGUGUCACGCGACUCACCUGUAACAAUAAGUGAUGUGUUGUUGGUUGUAAACUGGUCCGGCUGAAGCAGAGCUCUGGGACGUGUGGACAGACAUUGACUGUAAUGAUGGACAUCUGCUCAGGGACAGAAUAAGUGAUGUGUUGUUGGUUGUAAACUGGUCCGGCUGAAGCAGAGCUCUGGGACGUGUGGACAGACAUUGACUGUAAUGAUGGACAUCUGCUCAGGGACAGUCUGUCCAAAAGUAUAACCGCUGCGGGUCACGGUGCUGGAAGCUCCAAGGGGAGACCGUACUGAUAUCCCCCUUCUUCAGGCGCGCCUUCACACACACUCCAGCAUUCACUCGUAUCGCAGAGACCUGGCUGGGAUCAAACCAGCAACCUCUGAACCCGUGAGGCAGCGCUCUUACCUGUGAGCCACAGAUCUCUUGCUGGAGCACAUGAAGGAACUUAUAUCUGACUGUUUACCUGUGAUUUCCCAAUAAAGAAGUUGAAG